rnacentral:snoRNA from 15 species
GGCGUCAACGUGAUGAACUAUUUACGGAUGUAAAACUGUCCUUCGCGACUUGUCAUUUGUCCGAGAGCGCAAAACCGUGUGGAUGUUUCCGUUGCCUUCCUACUGAUCUGU